AGUCAGUUUGUAAUCAUAGAGAUUUUCUGUUGUUUACUACUUUUAAUUAGUAUUCAUAAACAAAAUAACCACAACAUUCCUGUUUAGUAAUGUUUACAUGUACUGUACAUUUAGUUUGAACCAAAGUUAUAGUUUGUCAACAUUACAAUUUACAAACUGAAUGCCAAUUUUACAAACUGAAUAAAUGCCAAUUUAAAAAAAAAAAUCUUAUAGCAAACAAGAAAUAAUAACUUUGCAUGAGAAAACAAUGUUUAAAAUCAUUUAUAAAUAAAUCUGCUGUGGUAUACUUGUACUUAGUAAUGUAAUAAGAAAAAUUAAAGUUAAGUUCUAACAGUUAUUUCCCUUGAAGAAGUGUUUUAUCCUCAGCCAUCGCAUAGAGGACCUCCUCUAUGUGAUGGUGUAAUGGAGGUCUGUGCUUUAGUCAGAUUGAUCCUCAGCAUGCUCAGUACCUGGAUUUAUUGAUAUUUACUGGGCUGAGGAUCAGAUACUCUUGAAAUAGAAAGUACUCAGUUCUUUAAGAAGUGCAAUGAAUUUGUUCUCACUGUGUUAACAUCAGUACGAUGAUAGGUAGGCUAAUAGAAUUCUGUAUCAUUAGCUAUUUUAGGUGUGACUGUACAUUACAUUAAUGUUGUAUCAUGGACAACAUUUUUUUUAAAAAGUGCUUACAUUUAAAGAUUUACUCAAUACCACGUUUGUAUCUUCAAUCUUCAACAGCUGAGAAUUUAUUAUGUUUGGUAAUAAUAUACUAAACAUCAUCAUGGUAGCUCCUCUGAAUUAAAUUUUUGAACAUUUUUACUUUGUGUCUAAAAUAAAUAGAUUUAAAACCAG
rnacentral:sRNA from 1 species